rnacentral:rRNA from 1 species
UACGUAGGGGGCGAGCGUUGUCCGGAUUUACUGGGCGUAAAGCGCGUGUAGGCGGCCCGUUAAGUGGGGUGUGAAAGCCCGGGGCUCAACCCCGGGACGCCGCUUCAAACUGGCGGGCUUGAGGACGGAAGAGGGGAGUGGAAUUCCUGGUGUAGCGGUGAAAUGCGCAGAUAUCAGGAAGAACACCCGUGGCGAAGGCGGCUCUCUGGGACGUGACUGACGCUGAGACGCGAAAGCGUGGGGAGCGAACAGG